GUGGGGAAUAUUGGACAAUGGGCGCAAGCCUGAUCCAGCCAUGCCGCGUGUGUGAUGAAGGCCUUAGGGUUGUAAAGCACUUUCGACGGGGACGAUAAUGACGGUACCCGUAGAAGAAGCCCCGGCUAACUUCGUGCCAGCAGCCGCGGUAAUACGAAGGGGGCUAGCGUUGCUCGGAAUCACUGGGCGUAAAGGGUGCGUAGGCGGACAUUUAAGUCAGGGGUGAAAGCCUGAGGCUCAACCUCAGAAUUGCCUUUGAUACUGGGUGUCUCGAGACCGGUAGAGGUGAGUGGAACUGCGAGUGUAGAGGUGAAAUUCGUAGAUAUUCGCAAGAACACCAGUGGCGAAGGCGGCUCACUGGACCGGUUCUGACGCUGAGGCACGAAAGCGUGGGGAGCAAACAGG
rnacentral:rRNA from 1 species